ACCGCGUACAUGGGGAGCUGGGACGAUGGCCCGGCUGAGAGGAGCAUGCCCGCGAUGCUCGACCCGCAACCUGAUCCGGAUAAUGCCGGCGUAGGGAACCAACAGCCUUGCUUUU
rnacentral:ncRNA from 1 species